rnacentral:lncRNA from 1 species
UUCACUGUGUUUGCUUUGGGGAUCCCAACACAGGACACCCCUUGGCCUCUUAACCACCAUCCUGUGCUCAUAGCCUCAUGUUCUGUGAGCUGCUCCACACUCCCACAGGGAGCAGAGCUAGAAGCCAAGCCAGUCUCCUCACCUGAAAAAUGGGAAGAGCAAAAUAUCCUACCCUAGAGGGUUGCUGUGAGAGCCGAAAGCGUCUAUCCACGUGAAGCACAUGGGACAGAGCCUGGCACAAAGAAAAUGCUUCCCAGCUCCAUCAGCCCACCGCCCCCUCUGGCCUUCCCUCAAGAGCAGCCACUGGGCCUUGGUUGCCAUGGAGACAGUUUCCCUCAGAGGCUUUGCCUCCCAUCUUCUUUUCUUUUCUUUUCUUUUUUCUUUUUUUUUAAUUUGAGACAAGAUCUCGCUUUGUCACCCGGCCU